rnacentral:rRNA from 1 species
CGAAGCCAGAACGWGAMRACGCKGGCGGCGUGCYUWACACAUGCAAGUCGAACGGUAACAGGUCCUUCGGGACGCUGACGAGUGGCGCACGGGUGAGUAACGCGUGGAUAUCUGCCUAUUAGUGGGGGACAACUACGGGAAACMGUAGCUAAUACCGCAUAAGCUCUACGGAGGAAAGCAGGGGACCCCUCGGGGCCUUGCGCUGAUAGAUGAGUCCGCGUCUGAUUAGCUAGUUGGUAGGGUAAUGGCUUACCAAGGCGAUGAUCAGUAACUGGUUUGAGAGGAUGAUCAGUCACACUGGAACUGAGACACGGUCCAGACUCCUACGGGAGGCAGCAGUGGGGAAUAUUGCACAAUGGGCGAAAGCCUGAUGCAGCGACGCCGCGUGCGGGAAGAAGGCCUUCGGGUUGUAAACCGCUUUCAAUUGGGAAGAAGAGAUGAGGGCUAAUAUCCCUCUGAUUUGACGGUACCUUUAGAAGAAGCACCGGCUAAUUUCGUGCCAGCAGCCGCGGUAAUACGAAAGGUGCAAGCGUUGUUCGGAUUUACUGGGCGUAAAGAGAUCGUAGGUGGUUUGUUAAGUCGGAUGUGAAAUCCCGGGGCUCAACCCCGGAACUGCAUUCGAUACUGGCAGGCUAGAGUUUGGGAGGGGUAAGCGGAAUUCCGUGUGUAGCAGUGAAAUGCGUAGAUAUACGGAGGAACACCUGAGGCGAAGGCGGCUUACUGGACCAAUACUGACACUGAGGAUCGAAAGCGUGGGUAGCAAACAGGAUUAGAUACCCUGGUAGUCCACGCCCUAAACGAUGUCAACUAGCCGUAGCGGGUAUCGACCCCUGCUGUGGCGAAGCUAACGCGAUAAGUUGACCGCCUGGGGGGAGUACGGUCGCAAKAUKRRCACCUCAAAUGAAUGCG